rnacentral:rRNA from 1 species
UAAAGGCUCACCAAGGCAACGAUGGGUAGCUGGUCUGAGAGGACGAUCAGCCACACUGGGACUGAGACACGGCCCAUACUCCUACGGGAGGCAGCAGUGGGGAAUCUUGCGCAAUGCGCGAAAGCGUGACGCAGCAACGCCGCGUGGGGGAAGAAGGCCUUCGGGUUGUAAACCCCUUUCAGUUGGGACGAAGCUCCGCCGGUGAAUAGCCGGCUGGAGUGACGGUACCUUCAGAAGAAGCCCCGGCUAACUACGUGCCAGCAGCCGCGGUAAUACGUAGGGGGCAAGCGUUGUCCGGAAUCAUUGGGCGUAAAGAGCGUGUAGGUGGCUCGGUAAGUCCGCUGUGAAAGUCCAGGGCUCAACCCUGGGAAUGCCGGUGGCAAACUGUCGAGCUAGAGUCCGGAAGAGGCGAGUGGAAAUUCCUGGUGUAGCGGUGAAAUG